rnacentral:rRNA from 1 species
AAUGAACGCUGGCGGCGUGGAUUAGGCAUGCAAGUCGAACGCGAAAGUUCCCUUCGGGGAGCGAGUAGAGUGGCGAAAGGGUGAGUAAUGCUUGGAUGACCUGCCCUCGAGACGGGGACAACAGUUCGAAAGGACUGCUAAUACCCGAUAGUCCGGUUUAGUAUGCGUCUAGAUCGGUAAAUGGUGCUUCCGCUCGAGGAGGGGUUCGAAGUCCUAUCAGCUUGUUGGUGAGGUAACGGCUCACCAAGGCGAUGACGGGUAGCCGGACUGAGAGGUUGGCCGGCCACAUGGGAACUGAGACACUGUCCUGACUCCUACGGGAGGCUGCAGUCGAGAAUCUUCUGCAAUAGGCGGAAAGACCUGACAGAGCGACGCCGCGUGGAGGA